rnacentral:lncRNA from 1 species
CAGAGCCACGGAGCAACUUCCUGGGGUGGAACAGGCCAGCCGGCGCCUGUCGCCACUCUCGAUUUUGGCCUUGGCGCUGCCUUUGGGACUUGGGUGGCUGUCCUGGCCUGUCACCUCCAUCCCGGCAGCCGUACUCCCUGCCUGACUCCCACGCAGAGGCCCUGCGCCCCACCCUCCGCACCGUCUGAUGUUGCUAAUCCGAUCCCCUUCCUGGGAGCAGAGAACGGCCUGCCUGAGAGCAUCUCUGCAAACUGUCCUAGGAGGUCCCUCGUCUGCCUGACGGUCAGGAAGGCCUCAGAACCUGAUGAUGGAAGGCCUCAGAGGGCACAGAGCCUGGUAUCAGCUGCUCAGAAAGAGUUAGCAGCUCCUACUGUCUGUGAAAAAGCUCCAGUAAGAAACACCUAUUAGAGCAUCACCUCAGAUGGAAUCAGCUUCUGCUCUCAAGCUGCCAAUCCCAGCUUCCGGACGAAAAGAGGACAGCCCCUCAGAACUCGUGAGGCCUGUCACUCACCCCUUCAGUUGUAGGGACCCC